GAAAUUUCAAACAUACAAAUCAAGAAAGCUUCUGACUAUAAAGAUGAUCAUAUAAAAAAUGGAUUGGAGCAUGUACUUACAGUCAUGAUAGAUAAAGAUUACUAUGGAACGCAAUAUUUAAAUCAAAUGUUCAUUGUACCGGAACAUGCAGAUACUAAAACCUAUGACUCUCUAGAACAUUCCAUAAUGACAGAAAAAUAUAAAAUGCAACAGGAUAUUUUUAACAUAAUAG